rnacentral:rRNA from 1 species
GAGUUUGAUCCUGGCUCAGGACGAACGCUGGCGGCGCGCUUAACACAUGCAAGUCGAGCGAGAACCAUGCCUUCGGGCAUGGGGACAGCGGCGAACGGGUGAGUAACACGUGGGUAAUCUGCCCUUGACAUCGGGAUAGCCCGGGGAAACCCGGAUUAAUACCGAAUAGCCUCCGAAGCCUUCGGGCGUCGGAGAAAAGGUAGCUUCGGCCUCUGGUCAAGGAUGAGCCCGCGGCGGAUUAGCUUGUUGGCGGGGUAACGGCCCACCAAGGCGACGAUCCGUAGCGGGUCUGAGAGGACGAUCAGCCACACUGGGACUGAGACACGGCCCAGACUCCUACGGGAGGCAGCAGUGGGGAAUCUUGCGCAAAUGCGGGAAACCGUGACGCAGCGACGCCGCGUGGGGGAAGAAGGCCUUCGGGUUGUAAACCUCUUUCAGGAGGGACGAAGCUACUCGGGUUAAUAGCCCAGAGGGUGACGGUACCUCCAGAAGAAGCCCCGGCUAACUACGUGCCAGCAGCCGCGGUAAUACGUAGGGGGCAAGCGUUGUCCGGAUUUAUUGGGCGUAAAGGGUUCGUAGGCGGUGUGGCAAGUCGGAAGUGAAAUCUCUGGGCUCAACCCAGAGGCUGCUCCCGAAACUGCCAUGCUAGAGUGCGGGAGAGGCGAGUGGAAUUACAGGUGUAGCGGUGAAAUGCGUAGAUAUCUGUAGGAACACCCGUGGCGAAGGCGGCUCGCUGGACCGCAACUGACGCUGAGGAACGAAAGCUAGGGGAGCAAACAGGAUUAGAUACCCUGGUAGUCCUAGCCCUAAACGAUCAGGACUUGGGGUGCAUCCCGUUGGGGGUGCGUCCCGUAGCUAACGCGUUAAGUCAGCCGCCUGGGGAGUACGGCCGCAAGGCUAAAACUCAAAGGAAUUGACGGGGACCCGCACAAGUGGUGGAGCAUGUGGUUUAAUUCGAUGGUAAGCGAAGCACCUCACCCAGGUUUGACAUCUCUGGAAAGUUUUAGAAAUAUUACCGUGCCGCAAGGAACCAGAAGACAGGUGUUGCACGGCUGUCGUCAGCUCGUGCUGUGAAGUGUACGGUUAAGUCCGUCAACGAGCGCAACCCUUAUCGUAUGUUGAAUUUUUCAUACGAGACUGCCGGCGUUAAGUCGGAGGAAGGUGGGGAUGACGUCAAGUCAGCGUGGCCCUUACGCCUGGGGCGACACACGUGCUACAAUGGGAAGUAACAAUGGGUUGCCAAGCCGCGAGGCGGAGCUAAUCCCACCAAACCUUCCCCCAGUUCGGAUUGCAGUCUGCAACUCGACUGCAUGAAGCCGGAAUCACUAGUAACGGCCGGUCAGCCAUACGGCCGUGAUACGUUCUCGGGUCUUGUACACAC